UAGUCGUUGUGGACGAGGGGGGGGGGGAAUGCGUAGGUGUCUAUGGUUGUCCGGAAUUAUUGGGCGUAGAGGUUGUGUAGGCGGGUGAGUAGGGUGGGUGUGAAGACGCGGGGCGCAACCGCGGGCGGUCGGGGGAAACUAUGUGGCUAGAGUGCAGAAGAGGAAAGGGGAAUUCCUGGUGUAGCGGUGAAAUGCGCAGAGAUCAGGAAGAACAGCCGUGGCGAAGGCGGCUCUCUGGGACGGUACUGACGCUGAGGCGCGAAAGCGUGGGGAGCGAACAGGAUAAGAUACCCGUGUAGUC
rnacentral:rRNA from 1 species